rnacentral:rRNA from 1 species
GACGAACCGAGCGAACGUUGUUCGGAAUCACUGGGCUUAAAGGGCGCGUAGGCGGGCUGUCAAGUCUGGGGUGAAAGUCCCACGGCUCAACCCGUGGAACUGCCUUAGAUACUGACGGCCUCGAGGGAGAUAGGGCGAGCGGAACUGUGAGUGGAGCGGUGAAAUGCGUUGAUAUUCACAGGAACUCCGGUGGCGAAGGCGGCUCGCUGGAUCUUUUCUGACGCUGGAGGCGCGAAAGCUAGGGGAGCAAACGGG